ACAACAUGGUGAGGGCAUUUUCUAAUCUGUUCUUUCAAUCUCUCCUAUAUCUCAUGAAAUAUCUUUCCAUCCAAUUGAAAAAAACUAGUUAUGGCCUUAUAGAUUUU